UCCAGCAUCCUUGGAUCUCAACCCUAUCGAAAAUCGUUGGUCCAUCGUUAAUCAAGAUGUUUAUGUUGAUAGAUGCCAAUUUACAUCAAAAGAUGUCUUAUGGGCGACCAUCAAAGCUGCAGCUGAGGCAGUCCAGCCUGCUACUAUUAAGAAAUUGACAGAUUCCAUGGCUAAUGGGGUUCUUGAAGUUAUCCGUGGAAAUGGCGCU